rnacentral:miRNA from 1 species
AGGGAAGGUGGCAAGCAUGUU